UUUUCCGUGGGCGACCCUAGGGCGGAAACUUGGGUUUCAAAUGCGAAACAUUUGUCUCCUGGAAUCACAUCUGGCUUCCAAUGUAUGUUAAGACUUUUCUUAACCGAAAAAGUCAGCGCCUGAAGGACACCCAAGGCUCAAGGCCUUCUGCCCCUCAGCUGUAUCUGCCGCAAAUAGGAAUCAGCCACCUCAAAUUUAUCCUAUUUUACCAUGCGUACUGCUUGUGGGAAGAGAUUAAUUAUUUUGCCUCCUGCCAAGACAAAGUCCUUUAGUGAAAGUGUGGGUCAAAAGGCCUCAUCAUGACCCUGUAGACUCAAGAUAAUGCUUAAACUCUCUAAGGUACGUCAUUUGCUAAUAUGUAUAAAGUCAUUUAACUUAGAAAUAUUACAGUUGGUCUUAGACAAAGGCAUAGAGAAUGAUAUGCAAAAAGAGCUGAAUAAAAGCACAUUGAUUCUGACA
rnacentral:lncRNA from 1 species